rnacentral:rRNA from 1 species
UAAUACGGAGGGUCCAAGCGUUAUCCGGAAUCAUUGGGUUUAAAGGGUGCGCAGGCGGUUUAUUAAGUCAGUGGUGAAAUCUCGGGGCUCAACCUCGAAACUGCCAUUGAUACUGAUAAACUUGAGUUCAGUUGGAGUGGGCGGAAUGUGUAGUGUAGCGGUGAAAUGCUUAGAUAUUACACAGAACACCGAUAGCGAAGGCAGCUUACUAAACUGAUACUGACGCUGAGGCACGAAAGCGUGGGGAGCGAACAGGAUUAGAUACCCUGGUAGUCCACGCCGUAAACUAUGAUUACUCGAUAUUGGCGAUAUACAGUCAGUGUCUAAGCGAAAGUGAUAAGUAAUCCACCUGGGGAGUACGGUCGCAAGAUUG